rnacentral:rRNA from 1 species
AGCAGCCGCGGUAAUUCCAGCUCCAAUAGCGUAUAUUAAAGUUGUUGCAGUUAAAAAGCUCGUAGUUGAAUUUCGGGAUUAGUACGUUGGUCGUGCCUUCGGUACGUACUGGUGUUACUGGUUCCUACCUUCUGACGAACCAUCAUGCCAUUAAUUUGGUGUGGCGGGGAAUCAGGACUAUUACUUUGAAAAAAUUAGAGUGUUUAAAGCAGGCUCGCGCUUGAAUACAUUAGCAUGGAAUAAUGAAAUAGGACGUUUGAUCCUAUUUCGUUGGUUUCUAGGAUCGACGUAAUGAUUAAUAGGGAUAGUUGGGGGCAUUAGUAUUCAAUUGUCAGAGGUGAAAUUCUUGGAUUUAUUGAAGACUAACUACUGCGAAAGCAUUUGCCAAGGAUGUUUUCAUUAAUCAAGAACGAAAGUUAGGGGAUCGAAGACGAUCAGAUACCGUCGUAGUCUUAACCAUAAACUAUGCCGACUAGGGAUCGGAUGAUGUUAAUUUUUUAAUGACUCA